CACGUAGGGGGCAAGCGUUGUCCGGAAUCAUUGGGCGUAAAGAGCUCGUAGGCGGCUCAAUAAGUCGGGUGUGAAACCCCCAGGCUCAACCUGGGGACGCCACCCGAUACUGUUGUGGCUAGAGUCCAGUAGGGGAGUGUGGAAUUCCCGGUGUAGCGGUGAAAUGCGCAGAUAUCGGGAGGAACACCAGCGGCGAAGGCGGCACUCUGGGCUGGUACUGACGCUGAGGAGCGAAAGCGUGGGGAGCGAACAGG
rnacentral:rRNA from 1 species